GUGCUCGCUUUGGCAGCACAGACACUAAAAUUGGAAUGAUACAGAGAAGAUUAGCAUGGUCCCAGUGCAAGGAUGACAUGCAAAUUCAUGAGAUCUUCCAUAUUUUU